rnacentral:rRNA from 1 species
UACGGGAGGCAGCAGUGGGGAAUAUUGCACAAUGGGCGAAAGCCUGAUGCAGCUAUGCCGCGUGUAUGAAGAAGGCCUUAGGGUUGUAAAGUACUUUCAUCGGGGAGGAAAAACAAAACUAAUAAUUUUAUUUCUUGACGUUACCCGAAAAAGAAGCACCGGCUAACUCCGUGCCAGCAGCCGCGGUAAUACGGAGGGUGCUAGCGUUAAUCGGAAUUACUGGGCGUAAAGGGCACGCAGGCGGUUAAUUAAGUUGGAUGUGAAAUCCCCGGGCUUAACCUGGGAAUGGCAUUCAAGACUGGUUUAGCUAGAGUCUUGUAGAGGGGGUAGAAUUCCAUGUGUAGCGGUGAAAUGCGUAGAGAUGUGGAGGAAUACCGGUGGCGAAGGCGGCCCCUGGACAAAGACUGACGCUCAUGUGCGAAAGCGUGGGGAGCAAACAGGGAUUAGAUACC